rnacentral:lncRNA from 1 species
UGCUCCUCUCUGCAACAUACAUGAUAGGGGCAUGCAGAAUCUAAUAUCCACUGCUGGGAAGAAGUAGAUACCUCGUCAGAUAUCUCCAGGAUAUCUCCAUCUAAAUCACUGCCGACCGUCGCUACAGCAGCCACCGUCUGAUUUUUCAGUUGAGGGCAAUCUCUGGCUAGAUGCCCUAACUCCUCACAUCGGUAACACCUGAUUUUGCUCA